CAUGUCCUUUUGUUUAUAAUUUAAGGUCUAAUCUGCUCAAUGAUAAUUAAAUUGCCGCAGUAUUUUAACUGUGCAAAGGUAGCAUAAUAAUUAGUUUUUUAAUUGAAAACUGGAAUGAAUGAUUGGACAAGAAAAUUGCUGUCUCUUUUUAAUAUUUUGAAUUUAAUAUUUAAGUUAAAAAGCUUAAAUGAUAUUUUUAGACGAGAAGACCCUAUAGAGUUUUAUUAGAUUUAAUUUUAUUGAUAUUUAGUAAUUAAAUAUUAUAUUAAUUAAUUUUAAUUUGGUUGGGGUGACUUAAAAAUAUAUUUAACUUUUUUAUAUUUUAAUUAAUUAUUAUUAAAUUGUAAACCUAAUUAUAUUAAGUUUAAAAUAAAUUACCUUAGGGAUAACAGCGUUAUUUUUAUUUGAAGUUCUUAUUUAAAUUAAAGAUUGCGACCUCGAUGUUGGAUUAAAAUUUACUUUUGGUGCAGUUGCUUAAAAGUUAAGUCUGUUCGACUUUUAAAAUUUUACAUGAUCUGAGU
rnacentral:rRNA from 1 species